CCUACGGGGGGCAGCAGUGGGGAAUAUUGCACAAUGGGGGGAACCCUGAUGCAGCGACGCCGCGUGGGUGAAGGAGCACCUCGGUGCGUAAAGCCCUAUCAGCAGGGAAGAAGAUGACGGUACCUGACUAAGAAGCCCCGGCUAACUACGUGCCAGCAGCCGCGGUAAUACGUAGGGGGCAAGCGUUAUCCGGAUUUACUGGGUGUAAAGGGAGCGUAGACGGCGGCGCAAGCCAGAUGUGAAAGCCCGGGGCUCAACUCCGGGACUGCAUUUGGAACUGUGUGGCUGGAGUGUCGGAGAGGCAG
rnacentral:rRNA from 1 species